GACGAACGCUGGCGGCGUGCUUAACACAUGCAAGUCGAACGGAAAGGCCCUGCUUUUGUGGGGUGCUCGAGUGGCGAACGGGUGAGUAACACGUGAGUAACCUGCCCUUGACUUUGGGAUAACUUCAGGAAACUGGGGCUAAUACCGGAUAGGAGCUCCUGCUGCAUGGUGGGGGUUGGAAAGUUUCGGCGGUUGGGGAGGGACUCGCGGCUCAUCAGCUUGUUGGUGGGGUAGUGGCUUACCAAGGCUUUGACGGGUAGCCGGCCGGAGAGGGUGACCGGCCACAUUGGGACUGAGGUACGGCCCAGACUCCUACGGGAGGCAGCAGUGGGGAAUAUUGCACAAUGGGCGGAAGCCUGAUGCAGCAACGCCGCGUGCGGGAUGACGGCCUUCGGGUUGUAAACCGCUUUCGCCUGUGACGAAGCGUGAGUGACGGUAAUGGGUAAAGAAGCACCGGCUAACUACGUG
rnacentral:rRNA from 1 species